UACAGAGGGGGCAAGCGUUAUUCGGAAUUAUUGGGCGUAAAGGGCGCGUAGGCGGCUUUGCAAGUGACGGGUGAAAUCCCUCGGCUUAACCGAGGAACUGCCUGUCAAACUGCAUGGCUUGAGACCGGGAGAGGUGAGUGGAAUUCCCGGUGUAGCGGUGAAAUGCGCAGAUAUCGGGAGGAACACCCGUAGCGAAGGCGGCACUCUGGGCCGUGACUGACGCUGAGGAGCGAAAGCGUGGGGAGCAAACAGGG
rnacentral:rRNA from 1 species